AUACGGAGGAUGCGAGCGUUAUCCGGAUUUAUUGGGUUUAAAGGGAGCGUAGGCGGGAACUUAAGUCAGCGGUUAAAUGGUGCGGCUCAACCGUGCCCUGCCGUUGAAACUGGGUUUCUUGAGAGUGCAAGAGGCGGAUGGAAUUCGUGGUGUAGCGGUGAAAUGCUUAGAUAUCAUGAAGAACUCCGAUUGCGAAGGCAGUCCGCUGGGGCACGUCUGACGCUGAUGCUCGAAGGUGCGGGAAUCAAACAGGAUUAAAUACCCUGGUAGUCCGCACGGUAAACGAUGAUUACCCGCUGUCGGCGGCAGACAGUCGGCGGUCAAGCGAAAGCGAUAAGUAAUCCACCUGGGGAGUACGCCGGCAACGGUGAAACUCAAAGGAAUUGACGGGG
rnacentral:rRNA from 1 species